rnacentral:rRNA from 1 species
CCUACGGGAGGCUGCAGUGAGGAAUAUUGCGCAAUGGAGGCAACUCUGACGCAGCCAUGCCGCGUGCAGGAAGAAGGCGCUACGCGUUGUAAACUGCUUUUAUCCGGGAAGAAACCCCUCGACGUGUCGAGGGUUGACGGUACCGGAGGAAUAAGCACCGGCUAACUUCGUGCCAGCAGCCGCGGUAAUACGAAGGGUGCAAGCGUUAUCCGGAUUCAUUGGGUUUAAAGGGUGCGUAGGCGGAAGGUUAGAAAUCCUGCAGCUCAACUGUAGACUUGCCAUUGAUACUGGCGUUCUUGAGUGCGCUUGAAGUAGGCGGAAUGUGCCGUGUAGCGGUGAAAUGCUUAGAUAUGGCACAGAACACCAAUUGCGAAGGCAGCUUACUAAGGCGAUACUGACGCUGAGGCACGAAAGCGUGGGGAUCGAACAGGAUUAGAUACCCCAGUAGUC